UAUUUUAGAAAGCACCAAAAUAGUGUCCGUGAGUGGUCCCAAAGAGAAAAGGAGGGAGAAGAAUCUUCUCAAACUAGUGACAUGUUGGUGCGAAUUGAUAGUCACAGACCAAAGGAGGGAGAGUCUUGGGAAUCUUUAGAGAGUGGGAUUUUGAUGUCCCUACGAAUAUUCAGUCACUCGAAGGAAACGAUGCAACGUGUUAACGAAGCUCGACGCAAGGAACACGUGAAGGAAAGAUGUAUACAAGAAUGUAGAUGCUGACAAAUGGUCCUUCUUGAGGCUUUAGGCAUUGUAAGGGGUGCAUGCAGAAGACUAUGUUGAAGACUUUGUUGACAAAUAUUACCAUAGGGAUACUUACAAGCUAUGUUACAGUCAUAGUAUUACAACAAUCGAUGAUAGGAAAAAAUGGCCUAAGACUAAUGAUCCUGAGGUCAAGAGAAGAUGAUGAAGAUCAUAAUCAACACAAACUAAGGCAGACAAAUAUAACCAAAAGAUGUCGGAGAUGCCACUCAGCUUGGACAGAACAAGAGGACUUGCAAAAAUUCCCCCAUUCACCCAAAACCAAUAGAGACUCGUGUUGAAGGUGAGGGACCACCCAAUGAAGAACAACAAAGUCAUGUUCAAGUUGAACCAAAUGGAACACAACGAGCUAGCCAAACAAAUCCAAGCAAGAAAAAUCAAACCUUGUUUCAAAGAAAACUGGUUCCGCAUCUGCACCUAGAAAUAAUUAUGGUAUUGCAAAGAAAAUGAGCUGUGCAACAACAAAAAAGAAAAAAGAGACCUUGAAGAAACCUCACCUGUUUGAACAAAGUGCACAAUGUAGCAACACUAUUUCAGUAGCAGGAGAAGACAUGGACACUGAUAUUGUCUGUAGCUUGAUGAACUCUUGAAGAGGAAGAUGAAGUAGUCUUUUUUAGGAUUAACAAUAUGUUAGAUCUGGGUUUUUUUUGCAGGUCGUUUGAAAUGUAUUUUGAUAGCAUUUGGUUGUUCCAGAUGUUGAGGACAUGUUAUUGUUUUGAGAUGCUGCUACUUUAUUAGUGACUAACUAAUGUAAGGCAUCGGUAGAAUUUUUA